rnacentral:rRNA from 1 species
UACAGAGGUCUCAAGCGUUGUUCGGAUUCAUUGGGCGUAAAGGGUGCGUAGGCGGCGCGGUAAGUCGGGGUGUGAAAUCUCGGAGCUUAACUCCGAAACUGCAUUCGAUACUGGCGUGCUUGAGGACUGGAGAGGAGACUGGAAUUCAUGGUGUAGCAGUGAAAUUCGUAGAUAUCGGGAGGAACACCAGUGGCGAAGGCGGCGAUCUGGGAAGAUACUGACGCUGAGGUGCGAAAGCGUGGGGAGCAAACAGG